rnacentral:rRNA from 1 species
GGGCCCGCACAAGCAGUGGAGUAUGUGGUUUAAUUCGAAGCAACGCGAAGAACCUUACCAGGUCUUGACAUCCAACUAACGAGGCAGAGAUGCGUUAGGUGCCCUUCGGGGAAAGUUGAGACAGGUGGUGCAUGGUUGUCGUCAGCUCGUGUCGUGAGAUGUUGGGUUAAGUCCCGCAACGAGCGCAACCCUUGUGAUUAGUUGCUACGCAAGAGCACUCUAAUCAGACUGCCGUUGACAAAACGGAGGAAGGUGGGGACGACGUCAAAUCAUCAUGCCCUUUAUGACCUGGGCUACACACGUACUACAAUGGCCAUUAACAACGGGAAGCGAGACCGCGAGGUGGAGCAAAACCCCAAAAAUGGCCUCAGUUCGGAUCGCAGGCUGCAACCCGCCUGCGUGAAGCUGGAAUUGCUAGUAAUCGCGGAUCAUCAUGCCGCGGUGAAUACGUUCCCGGGCCUUGUACACACCGCCCGUCACACCAUGGGAGCCGGUAAUACCCG